rnacentral:lncRNA from 1 species
AGGGCCUGGGGGUUGUGCCUGAGGCUUGGGCUCUUGCAUACUCAGGGUUUGGGGGUGCCAAGAAGGAGGGGUUUCUAACGUCUUUCCUUCCAUCAAAGUUUGGGAUUCUGAGGGCAACGUUCUGGCUCUGGAUCCCGCCUGCAUUCCAGGAACUGGGUCAGCUGCUCUGGCCUGGAGGUCUGUCUGAAGGGCUCUGAGGAGCAUUUAGGGGCAGAAUGGCAGGGACAGAGUCAGCAAGAAGAGCAAACAUCCAUGUCCCCCAUUCGAUGCUUUCCUCUGAGAUAUUGCCCAUCUAACCAUCUCCAGCCUCCUCUCAUCUUUACUCUUCCUCUUGGAUGUCAUGAAUGGUCUGCUGUUCCCUCUCUCCUGCCUAUCUGCCUCCUCUGGAGUCCACACUCUGAGGCUAUGUGCCCAC